rnacentral:rRNA from 1 species
UGGGGAAUAUUGCACAAUGGGGGAAACCCUGAUGCAGCGACGCCGCGUGAACCAAGAAGGUAUUCGUAUCGUAAAGUUCUGUCCUAUGGGAAGAUAAUGACAGUACCAUAGAAGAAAGCUCCGGCUAAAUACGUGCCAGCAGCCGCGGUAAUACGUAUGGAGCGAGCGUUGUCCGGAAUUAUUGGGCGUAAAGGGUACGCAGGCGGUUUAAUAAGUCGAAUGUUAAAGAUCGGGGCUCAACCCCGUAAAGCAUUGGAAACUGAUAAACUUGAGUAGUGGAGAGGAAAGUGGAAUUCCUAGUGUAGUGGUGAAAUACGUAGAUAUUAGGAGGAAUACCAGUAGCGAAGGCGACUUUCUGGACACAAACUGACGCUGAGGUACGAAAGCGUGGGGAGCAAACAGG